CAGCCGCCGCGGUAAGAAAGAGGAUGCAAGCGUUAUCUGGAAUGAUUGGACGUAAAGCAUCUGUAGGUGGCUUUUCAAGUUCGUCGCCAAAUCCCAAGGCUCAACCCUGGACAGGCGGUGGAAACUAGCAAGCUAGAGUACAAUAGGGGCAGAGGGAAUUUCUAGUGGAGCGGUGAAAUGCAUUGAGAUCGGAAAGAACACGAACGGUGAAAGCACUCUGCUGGGCCGACACUGACACUGAGAGAUGAAAACUAGGGGAGAAAAUGGUAUUAGAUACCCGCGUAGUCCCUGUCUCUUAUAC
rnacentral:rRNA from 1 species